GGGAACCCUGAUGCAGCCAUGCCGCGUGAAUGAAGAAGGCCUUCGGGUUGUAAAGUUCUUUCGGUGAUGAGGAAGGGUGAUGUUUUAAUAGAGCAUUACAUUGACGUUAGUCACAGAAGAAGCACCGGCUAACUCCGUGCCAGCAGCCGCGGUAAUACGGAGGGUGCGAGCGUUAAUCGGAAUGACUGGGCGUAAAGGGCACGCAGGCGGUGACUUAAGUGAGAUGUGAAAGCCCCGAGCUUAACUUGGGAAUUGCAUUUCAUACUGGGUGGCUAGAGUAUUUUAGGGAGGGGUAGAAUUCCACGUGUAGCGGUGAAAUGCGUAGAGAUGUGGAGGAAUACCGAAGGCGAAGGCAGCCCCUUGGGAAAAUACUGACGCUCAUGUGCGAAAGCGUGGGGAGCAAACAGGAUUAGAUACCCUGGUAGUCCACGCUGUAAACGCUGUCGAUUUGGGGAUUGGGCUUUAUGUUUGGUGCCCGUAGCUAACGUGAUAAAUCGACCGCCUGGGGAGUACGGCCGCAAGGUUAAAACUCAAAUGAAUUGACGGGGGCCCGCACAAGCGGUGGAGCAUGUGGUUUAAUUCGAUGCAACGCGAAGAACCUUACCUACUCUUGACAUCCUAAGAAGCUUUCAGAGAUGAGAGUGUGCCUUCGGGAACUUAGAGACAGGUGCUGCAUGGCUGUCGUCAGCUCGUGUUGUGAAAUGUUGGGUUAAGUCCCGCAACGAGCGCAACCCUUAUCCUUUGUUGCCAGCGAUUCGGUCGGGAACUCAAAGGAGACUGCCAGUGAUAAACUGGAGGAA
rnacentral:rRNA from 1 species